CAGCCACAUCAUGUUAAAACACUGGUUCCUGUAUGAUCACUGAAGUUAAGCAAUGUCAAGCUUGGUCAGCACUUAGAUGAGUGACCACCUGGGAAUACCAGAUACUGUAAG